CUACGGGGGGCAGCAGUGGGGAAUAUUGCACAAUGGGCGAAAGCCUGAUGCAGCCAUGCCGCGUGUGUGAAGAAGGCCUUCGGGUUGUAAAGCACUUUCAGUAAGGAGGAAAAGUUAGUAGUUAAUACCUGCUAACCCUGACGUUACUUACAGAAGAAGCACCGGCUAACUCCGUGCCAGCAGCCGCGGUAAUACGGAGGGUGCAAGCGUUAAUCGGAAUUACUGGGCGUAAAGCGCGCGUAGGCGGCUUACUAAGCCAGAUGUGAAAGCCCCGGGCUCAACCUGGGAACUGCAUUUGGAACUGGUUCGCUAGAGUACAGUAGAGGGUGGUGGAAUUUCCAGUGUAGCGGUGAAAUGCGUAGAGAUUGGAAGGAACAUCAGUGGCGAAGGCGGCCACCUGGACUGAUACUGACGCUGAGGUGCGAAAGCGUGGGGAGCAAGCAGGAUUAGAUACCCUGGUAGUC
rnacentral:rRNA from 1 species